CCAUAGGUUAAUGAGGCGAACCGGGGGAACUGAAACAUCUAAGUACCCCGAGGAAAAGAAAUCAACCGAGAUUCCCCCAGUAGCGGCGAGCGAACGGGGAGGAGCCCAGAGCCUGAAUCAGUGUGUGUGUUAGUGGAAGCGUCUGGAAAGGCGCGCGAUACAGGGUGACAGCCCCGUACACAAAAAUGCACAUGCUGUGAGCUCGAUGAGUAGGGCGGGACACGUGGUAUCCUGUCUGAAUAUGGGGGGACCAUCCUCCAAGGCUAAAUACUCCUGACUGACCGAUAGUGAACCAGUACCGUGAGGGAAAGGCGAAAAGAACCCCGGCGAGGGGAGUGAAAAAGAACCUGAAACCGUGUACGUACAAGCAGUGGGAGCACGCUUAGGCGUGUGACUGCGUACCUUUUGUAUAAUGGGUCAGCGACUUAUAUUCUGUAGCAAGGUUAACCGAAUAGGGGAGCCGAAGGGAAACCGAGUCUUAACUGGGCGUUAAGUUGCAGGGUAUAGACCCGAAACCCGGUGAUCUAGCCAUGGGCAGGUUGAAGGUUGGGUAACACUAACUGGAGGACCGAACCGACUAAUGUUGAAAAAUUAGCGGAUGACUUGUGGCUGGGGGUGAAAGGCCAAUCAAACCGGGAGAUAGCUGGUUCUCCCCGAAAGCUAUUUAGGUAGCGCCUCGUGAAUUCAUCUCCGGGGGUAGAGCACUGUUUCGGCAAGGGGGUCAUCCCGACUUACCAACCCGAUGCAAACUGCGAAUACCGGAGAAUGUUAUCACGGGAGACACACGGCGGGUGCUAACGUCCGUCGUGAAGAGGGAAACAACCCAGACCGCCAGCUAAGGUCCCAAAGUCAUGGUUAAGUGGGAAACGAUGUGGGAAGGCCCAGACAGCCAGGAUGUUGGCUUAGAAGCAGCCAUCAUUUAAAGAAAGCGUAAUAGCUCACUGGUCGAGUCGGCCUGCGCGGAAGAUGUAACGGGGCUAAACCAUGCAC
rnacentral:rRNA from 1 species